GCAGAAGGAAGAGGUGCAUAUUUCUUCGCCCAGCAUCGGUCACUGAGCUAGCAAGUUAAAGUUAGCUAGUGAGUCACAGAAAUGUACGUUCAGACUGUUAAUUAUUUCAGUCCCAUUGGAUUUAUCUUACAAAAUCCGGCAGAGAGAGACAGGAUCAAACAGCAGGUCUGGGACAAGAUCUGCUAACCAGGCUUGGUGGGUGACAGGUAACCUUGUUUCCACCAAGCUGUUCCAGGCCUGGAGUGGCACGCUGGAACUUCCAGAAGCUUGUAGACCUGAAACAGUGUGACGUGGUCCAGAUCUGACACCCCUAUUAGCUCAACCACAGUCUUCACAGCUGCAGUCGUCUGCCCCUGCGCCUGCUACACCAGUUGCGACAGGUGAUACAGAUCUGCCACCCUCAGCAGUUCAGCUGCAGUCACAGCAGUCCUCUGCUGUGGUAUUUAAUUUACCGGCUGCACCAAUUCCUACUACACUGGCCAUGAAGGGAGAAACUUUUGAGGAUUCCCAGAUGGAUACAGAUAUGCCAUGCACUCCACCACUGCCUGACAGCCUCACCCAGAAGUGCAUAUACUGGGCCAAUCAAGACUGACAAGCAGAGAUAGGUGGCUGACAAGGAAAAAUAAAACACAACGUGCACACACACACACCCUCGCUCUGUCUCUGUCACACACACAUUAUCCCCAAUGUAAAUAAAUGGUAAUUACUUGUUUA